GUGAGGGCACCGUCCUUUCCUCCCACCCCGCGAUCUGCUCGACGUGAAACGGCCCGAGUUGUGCUUCACUUGGGGCGGCGGUAGCGGCCCCUUUGUCCGUGCCCAGGUUCAGGUGGAGACCACCAGCCCGGACGGCACGGCCGAGCCCGUCUCAGCCCCAGCCUCUCGCCCGGGGACCCCUCGCUCCGGGGCUCGGGUUCCGCGCCUCCCGGCGGGUCGGACCGGCAGGGGGCAGAGGCGCGGAGGAGCCGGAACCUCCAGGGCCCCGAGGGAAGCGCCGCGGCCCCGAGGAGAUGUGGGACAUGUGGAUUUGGGAUGUGAAUUCAUUUGAAAAGCCACUUUGGGUAGAUGUGGUCAGCAUAGCUAAGGAAGGCCAGUGGGUCAGAAGUAGCCAAGGUACUCCUCACCUAGUAAAAGGUGUGUGUCAGGAACCCCGUUCAAACUCUCAUAAGUGGAAAAGGGGAUUAUUAGAAGGAUUCCUAAGUGGUCACGAAAGCCAAAGAAGAGACAGGGACUCAGUCACUACGGGACCCUCCUCCUCUCGUCCUGCGUGCCUCUGUCUGAGCUCGCCCUCUUGGACUGCAGGGGACAUGGAUUUAAUCCCUGGUCCAGGAAGAUUCCACAUGCCUUGGAGCAACUCAUGCACCUCAGCAAGAGAGGUCCCCGCAGGGAGAAGCCCAGGCGCCGCAGAGUAGCCCCUGGAGAG
ensembl:lncRNA